UUCCCUUAGGCGUGUAAGAAGAGAAAAUAAAACAUCAAAGCUGAAGAUAAGUACUGAUGUGAGUCCAAAUCAGCUAUAAUUAAUCCCUAAUGACCAAGAACAAGCGGAGCGAAUCCGGAAAGGAAACAACUUUCUUAAGGUUUCAAGCUUGUUUCGAGACCUCAUUUAGAAGAUUUAUGAUCGUUGCGUUCGAAUUCAAGGGUGAGCUAGCAUCUUUUGGACUGCUUUGGAUUCUCUUCGGGUCUAUGUCCACAUUUUGGACUUAGACUAGUUUGUAGAUGUUUUAUGUUAGUUGGGAUUAUGACCUUCUUAUUUAGACUUAGUUAUCGUUAAAUAAUUUUAGUACAUUGAUUUUCAUCAUUUACUUCCACAUAUAUUUAGUUAGUUCAUUGGAAUCCUUAUUGAAGUUUAUGAAAACUUCAUAUUUAGUUUAUUUAA